UACAGAGGGUGCAAGCGUUAAUCGGAAUUACUGGGCGUAAAGCGUGCGUAGACGGUUACAUAAGUCGGGUGUGAAAGCCCCGGGCUCAACCUGGGAAUUGCAUUCGAGACUGCGUAGCUAGGGUGCGGAAGAGGGAAGCGGAAUUUCCGGUGUAGCGGUGAAAUGCGUAGAUAUCGGAAGGAACACCAGUGGCGAAAGCGGCCUCCUGGUCCAGCACCGACGUUCAGGCACGAAAGCGUGGGGAGCAAACAGG
rnacentral:rRNA from 1 species